UGAAUACGAGAUGCUACGGCGUCGAAGCAGUGUAUGUCAGACUUCCAAGAAAAGCUCGCAAUGUCAUAAAUAAAGAAUGCCUGUACCAUAACCGACACAGGUGGGUAGGUAGAGUAUACUAAGGGGCGCGAGAUAACUCUCUCUAAGGAACUCGGCAAAAUAACUCCGUAACUUCGGGAGAAGGAGUGCCUUCUAUUAGAAGGUUGCAAUAACAAGAUCCAAGCAACUGUUUAUCAAAAACACAGGUCUCCGCUAAGUCGUAAGACGAUGUAUGGGGGCUGACGCCUGCCCAGUGCCAGAAGGUUAAAGAAGUUGGUUAGCUUUGGCGAAGCUGAUGACUGAAGCCCUGGUGAACGGCGGCCGUAACAAUAACGGUCCUAAGGUAGCGAAAUUCCUUGUCGGGUAAGUUCCGACCCGCACGAAAGGCGUAAUGAUUUGGAUACUGUCUCGGAGAGGGACUCGGUGAAAUAGACUUGUCUGUGAAGAUGCGGACUACCUGCACCAGGACAGAAAGACCCUAUGAAGCUUUACUGUAACUUGAAAUUGAAAUUGGACUUUAUUUGCGCAGCAUAGGUGGAAGGCGUUGAGAUUACUCUUGCGGGAGUACUGGAGCCAUCAGUGAGAUACCACUCCUAUAAUGUUAGAUUUCUAACUUUGGAUCAUGAUCUGGUCAAAGAACAGUUUCAGGCGGGCAGUUUGACUGGGGCGGUCGCCUCCCAAAUGGUAACGGAGGCGUACAAAGGUUUCCUCUGAACGGGUAGAAAUCGUAUCUAGAGUGUAAAGGCAUAAGGAAGCUUGACUGUGAGACCUACAAGUCGAGCAGGGACGAAAGUCGGUCUUAGUGAUCUGACGGUGCUGAAUGGAAAGGCCGUCACUCAACGGAUAAAAGUUACUCUAGGAUAACAGGCUGAUCUCCCCCAAGAGUUCACAUCGACGGGGAGGUUUGGCACCUCGAUGUCGGCUCAUCGCAUCCUGGGGCGGUAGUACGUCCCAAGGGUUGGGCUGUUCGCCCAUGAAAGCGGUACGCGAGCUGGGUUCAGAACGUCGUGAGACAGUUCGGUCCAUAUCCGGUGUAGGCGUUAGAAUAUUGAGAGGAGCCUUCUUUAGUACGAGAGGACCGAGAAGGACAUACCUCUGGUGUACCAGUUAUCGUGCCAACGGUAAACGCUGGGUAGCUAUGUAUGGAGAGGAUAACCGCUGAAAGCAUCUAAGUGGGAAGCCCACCUCAAGAUGAGUAUUCUC
rnacentral:rRNA from 1 species